ensembl:misc_RNA Y_RNA Y RNA
GGCUGGUCUGAGUGCAGUGGUGUUUACAACCAAUAGAUAUAACCAGUUAUAGACUCUUUUGUUCCUUCUCCACUCCCACUGCAUCAGUUGACUGGCCUUAA